AUUGAACGCUGGCGGCAUGCUUUACACAUGCAAGUCGAACGGUAACAGGGUGCUUGCACCGCUGACGAGUGGCGAACGGGUGAGUAAUGCGUCGGAACGCACCGAGUAAUGGGGGAUAACGCAGCGAAAGCUGUGCUAAUACCGCAUACGCUCUGAGGAGGAAAGCGGGGGACCUUCGGGCCUCGCGUUAUUCGAGCGGCCGACGUCUGAUUAGCUAGUAGGUGAGGUAAGAGCUCACCUAGGCGACGAUCAGUAGCGGGUCUGAGAGGAUGAUCCGCCCCACUGGGACUGAGACACGGCCCAGACUCCUACGGGAGGCAGCAGGGGGGAAUUUUGGACAAUGGGCGCAAGCCUGAUCCAGCCAUGCCGCGUGUCUGAAGAAGGCCUUCGGGCUGUAAAGGACUUUUGUCAGGGAGGAAAUCCUUAGCGCUAAUACCGUUGAGGGAUGACAGUACCUGAAGAAUAAGCACCGGCUAACUACGUGCCAGCAGCCGCCGUAA
rnacentral:rRNA from 1 species